GAGAGUGUAUCACCUGUGCCACACCCCCCCGGGAAGGUAGUCUGCUAUUUACCAUCUUGGCCGGGUGGGGGCAGUUCCUGAAGUUUCUGCUGGACUGUCCCCACCAACAGAGCCCCGCCCCUGGGCGGGGUGCAUCAGCCGCACUUACUCAUUUGGGGACCGGAGUCCUGAGCACUGUGGUCCGCGGACCGGCUCAGCUUACCCCGGACCCGGUUUAUGAUCCGGGCCCCCGCGCCCCAGCUCUGCAGCACCCGUGCCGGUGCAGACGGCAUCUCCCCGGGGGACGGCUGCGGAGUGAAGCCGUGGGCCUCUGUAAGAGCACCCGGGGAAUCAUGGGCGCGGGCCCGGCGGCUGACUCGGAAAGGCUGUGCCGGAAGCCGCCGCACGGAGAGGCCCACGCGCUGCGGAGCCGCGGGAAGUCCCACCGGCGAGGACCCGAAUCCGCACCCCCAGGAGUGAGCUUCGGAUGAGACCGCAGCCCCGCCCUACCUGGACGCCGGACCCCGGAAACCGCGAGGCCACACAGCCGGGGUUGGAGGGAGCCAGUGAAGCUUGGGGACGGCCACUAGCUGCGCACGGCUGGCGGGAGCAGCCGCUGGGGAGACAGCCCGGAGCCCCCUCGUGGAGCCGCCAGGGACACUGGCUUCCGUCCCGGGCGCGUGCCCACGGGAGCGGAAGGCGGGGCCUCACACACACCUGCACACACACGCGUACACGCCGUUAUCCCGGUGCACAAAAAGUGGAAGCGACCUGAGUGUCCACUGAUGGACGAAGGGACGAGCAAGACGCGGUCCAUCCGUGUAGGCGAUCAUCCCUAGAAAGGGCGCUUCACCCCUGCUGCACCGCGGGUGAACCCUGAGGGCACUGUGUUCAGUGAAAGAAGCCAUCAUAGAAAGACAAAUCCUGUGUGGUUUCACGUCUACAGGAGAUUUUACCCGGUGAAAAAGCUGCUGAGUUAGCGGCGGGCAGCAGCCCCGAAACACAAACCUCGGGGAUUUCCACGUCUGCGACCAGCUCACGGCCAAACACCUGCCCGGCACAACGUAAAAAGGAGAACAUUGACGAUACCGAUUUGACAGUUCGAUGUUUCUUUACUCCGAACGUGAAAUAACAAAUAACAAACAACCACGGCUAGUUGAGAAAGAGACCACGGAAAAAAGGAAAACGCUUUCCUUUCUAGGCCCCGGGCCCCGGGCCCCGGCAAGGAACCAGAGCUGCCUGUGGUGCGCAGGGUGCAGGGGUGAGGCCUCCGCAGAGAAACAGCUGUGAGCGGGCGCUCUCAUUACCGCAUGGCUGUGUGCGCUGCAUGUUGAAAUGACUGUGGAUACCGGGUUAAAGAAGAGUAAUGAUUAAAAUUAA